UGGGGAAUAUUGGACAAUGGGCGAAAGCCUGAUCCAGCCAUGCCGCGUGUGUGAAGAAGGCCUUUUGGUUGUAAAGCACUUUAAGCGAGGAGGAGGCUACUUAGAUUAAUACUCUAGGAUAGCGGACGUUACUCGCAGAAUAAGCACCGGCUAACUCUGUGCCAGCAGCCGCGGUAAUACAGAGGGUGCGAGCGUUAAUCGGAUUUACUGGGCGUAAAGCGUGCGUAGGCGGCUUUUUAAGUCGGAUGUGAAAUCCCUGAGCUUAACUUAGGAAUUGCAUUCGAUACUGGGAAGCUAGAGUAUGGGAGAGGAUGGUAGACUUCCAGGUGUGGCGGUGAAAUGCGUAGAGAUCUGGAGGAAUACCGAUGGCGAAGGCAGCCAUCUGGCCUAAUACUGACGCUGAGGUACGAAAGCAAGGGGGGCAAACAGG
rnacentral:rRNA from 1 species